rnacentral:tRNA from 1 species
UGUACCCUUAGCUCAGUUGGUUAGAGCUGACGGCUCAUAACCGUCCGGUCGUAGGUUCGAGUCCUACAGGGUACAU